rnacentral:lncRNA from 1 species
AAGAGCUGACCCCUGGAAUCUGGGCUAGACUUGCACUUGUUUUGGCCAUUGGAAUAUCAAGCUGACUUUUUGUGGGCUCUGGAGACUAGGACCUAAAAGGAGGAAUGUUGCCCCCUCAUCAUUAUGUAAAGAAGCUGGCGCAACCUGCUGGAGGAGAAUAUGCCACCUGGGGAAGAACUGAGGCACCCAGCCAACAUCCAGCACCCACCACUAGACAUGAAAACACUGGUCGGUUACUAAUGGAGAAGAAGAAAAAGCAGCAAAGACAACGAGUAUACUUGGGAUGCGAUCGCAUGCCUGGAGCAUCUGAGUAUUGGUUGGAAAGAGGUAAAUCAGGCACCAUUUCUCCAUGAUGUGUCAGGACCUGAAUCUGUCAUUUGCGAGCCUGACCUCAUAACUCAGCCAAGCCAAGCUGCAAGGCACCCUGGGAACCCAUCACUGAAAGACUGCAGAGGGAGGAAGGCAAGGGCAGGAAUAGCCAGCUGGUCAAGCAGCAGAGUGUCUCCUCAGCUCCCAGGAAAUGGUGUCUAAGGGUGAUGAUGAACUGGGACUUCAUCUGAGUCCAAAAUAAUGAUGCUGCUGAUGCAACAGCAGAACUUAUUAAACACUUACUACUGCAUAUGCCACUAUGAGGUAGACUUAC